rnacentral:lncRNA from 1 species
UUAUAACGACAUUUGCAUGUUUGUUUUUCAUUAUAUUUAAUGCUAACUUUGUAAAUGUAUGCAAAAUAUAUAUUGUAGUUGUUUAAAGUAUAAUUCAAAACUUUAAAGAAUCCGAGCGAAACAUACUUUCCCCACAUCUGUUACAGAAUACGUACAAAAGCACCACUAAUAGUUAUAAUGUUUAGGCUUAAAUAUCAGAACAACACGGUGAAUUGCACUGCAUUCAGCAAUAAGCUGGAACAUAUUUAGUUGUUCAAUGCGAAUAUAAGAAGAUCUUGAUAAGGCAGC